GAUGUCCCUUAUCUUUAAAAAAAAUUGAGACGAUAUAAAGAAGAUUAGUACAGUUCUUGCGUAAGCACCAAAUCAAGAAGUGGUCCAAAUUAAU
rnacentral:snRNA from 1 species